rnacentral:rRNA from 1 species
GGGUUAAGUCCCGCAACGAGCGCAACCCUUGUGUUUAGUUGCAAACAGGGUCAAGCUGUGCACUCUAGACAGACUGCCGUGGGACAACACGGAGGAAGGUGGGGAUGACGUCAAAUCAUCAUGCCCCUUAUGAUCUGGGCUACACACGUGCUACAAUGGCCGGUACAACGGGCAGCGAAGGAGCGAUACCGGAGCGAAUCCUAAAAAGCCGGUCCCAGUUCGGAUUGCAGGCUGAAACUCGCCUACAUGAAGUUGGAGUUGCUAGUAAUCGCGAAUCAGAAUGUCGCGGUGAAUGCGUUCCCGGGUCUU